ACGGGUGAGUAACACGUAUCCAACCUGCCGUCUACUCUUGGCCAGCCUUCUGAAAGGAAGAUUAAUCCAGGAUGGGAUCAUGAGUUCACAUGUCCGCAUGAUUAAAGGUAUUUUCCGGUAGACGAUGGGGAUGCGUUCCAUUAGAUAGUAGGCGGGGUAACGGCCCACCUAGUCAACGAUGGAUAGGGGUUCUGAGAGGAAGGUCCCCCACAUUGGAACUGAGACACGGUCCAA
rnacentral:rRNA from 1 species